GACAGAGGGUGCAAGCGUUGCUCGGAAUUACUGGGCGUAAAGGGCGUGUAGGCGGGAAGGCAAGUCGGGCGUGAAAUCCCCAGGCUCAACCUGGGAACUGCACUCGAAACUGCCUUUCUUGAGUGCCGGAGAGGAAAGCGGAAUUCCUGGUGUAGAGGUGAAAUUCGUAGAUAUCAGGAGGAACACCUAUGGUGUAGACAGCUUACUGGACCACGACUGACGUUGAGACACGAAAGCGUGGGUAGCAAACAGG
rnacentral:rRNA from 1 species